GAUGAAGAACGCAGCGAAAUGCGUUACGUAAUGUGAAUUGCAAAUUCAGUGAAUCAUCGAGUCUUUGAACGCACAUUGCGCCCCCUGGUAUUCCGGGGGGCAUGCCUGUCCGAGCGUCAUUGCUGCCCUCAAGCACGGCUUGUGUGUUGGGCCCCGUCCUCCGAUCCCGGGGGACGGGCCCGAAAGGCAGCGGCGGCACCGCGUCCGGUCCUCGAGCGUAUGGGGCUUUGUCACCCGCUCUGUAGGCCCGGCCGGCGCUUGCCGAUCAACCCAAAUUUUUAUCCAGGUUGACCUCGGAUCAGGUAGGGAUACCCGCUGAACUUAAGCAUAUCAAUAAGCGGAGGA
rnacentral:misc_RNA from 1 species